rnacentral:rRNA from 1 species
AUGAAAGCACGGAGGCCUACGGCUGGUCACGGUCAGCUGCGGGAAGCAAGGCACGACAAAGGGCCUGAACCCGCCAGAGUCGGGACAAAGGCGAGCUCCGGCGACGGGACUUGGCGGCGGGGCCGACUAGAACUGCUGCUGGUGGCGCCCGGCGUCCCUGGUGAAGCGGCGGCCAUGGACUUGUCUGAAGAGGACGGCUCGGGCAGGAGGCGCGAGCACAGGGACUUGGCUGGCGGGCCUCCUCAACGCAGGAAGCAGUGGGCGAUGGCGCUGGUCGCAGAGCAAGGCAAGGUCGAAGGAGCAGGAGAUAGCACGCAGGCGAACUUGAUGACGAGGGCCCUGGUCGCGGGCGCGCGAGGAAGAAAAGACGAAGGCCAUGGUAGGAGGCGCGGCGGCGCUCUCCGGCAGCUCGAGGCGAAGGUGAACGGAGGCGAGGAGGCCGACGGGCUUCGGCCUGGCUCCCUGAACCGAAGGAGGAGGGAGGAAGGCAGGGGCGCGCUGGUCGACGACGAGGGCGACGGGGAGGUCUGGUGGCGCGGCACCAAGGGCAGCAAGGAGGAGGACGGGCGCGGGGGUCUCGCGGCAUGUAGAGGAGCUCCGCUCCGGUGGCGAGGGAACCCUGGCCUGGAUGGCGUCAGGAGGCGCGAGGGAAUUGGGGAGAGAGAUGGAUCGAGAGGAGGGAGAGAUGGCGCAAGGGAACGAGGGGGAUGA